AAAGAUGAAAAGCACUUUGGAAAGAGAGUUAAACAGUACGUGAAAUCGUUGAAAGGGAAACGAUUGAAGUCAGUCGUGUUCUUUGGAUUCAGCUAGUUCUUCUAGUCUACUUCCUUUGAACGGGUCAACAUCAGUUUUGUCCGGUGGAUAAAGAUAGUAGGAAUGUAGCUCCCUCGGGAGUGUUAUAGACUAUUAUUGCAUGCACUGGGUGAGACUGAGGACUGCAGCUCGCCUUUUGGCCGGCUUCGGGUACGUUCGAGCUUAGGAUGUUGACAUAAUGGCUU
rnacentral:rRNA from 1 species